CCCUUAGAUGUCCUGGGCCGCACGCGCGUUACACUGAUGCAUUCAACGAGCUUAUAACCUUGGCCGAGAGGCCUGGGCAAUCUUGUUAACGUGCAUCGUGAUAGGGAUAGAUUAUUGAAAUUAUUAAUCUUGAACGAGGAAUUCCUAGUAAACGCAGAUCAUCAAUCUACAUUGAUUACGUCCCUGCCCUUUGUACACACCGCCCGUCGCACCUACCGAUUGGAUGGUCCGGUGAAGCCUCGGGAUUGUGGUUCUUGCCGCUUUAUUGUGGCGUGACCGCGAGAACUUGUCUAAACCUUAUCAUCUAGAGGAAGGUGAAGUCGUAACA
rnacentral:rRNA from 1 species